rnacentral:misc_RNA from 1 species
GAUGAAGAACGCAGUGAAAUGCGAUACGUAAUGUGAAUUGCAGAAUUCAGUGAAUCAUCGAAUCUUUGAACGCAUAUUGCGCUCUCUGGUAUUCCGGAGAGCAUGCUUGUUUGAGUAUCAGUAAACACCUCAACUUCCAUAUCUUUUUUGAAAUGGGAGUUGGACUUGAGUGAUCCCAACGCUUUUCCUCACCGAAAAGUGGCGGGUUACUUGAAAUGCAGGUGCAGCUGGACUUUUCUCUGAGCUAUAAGCAUAUCUAUUUAGUCUGCCUAAAAAACAGAUUAUUACCUUUGCUGCAGCUAACAUAAAGGAGAUUAGUUCUUGUGCUGACUGAUGCAGGAUUCACAAAGACAGGCUUCGGCCGACUUUGUAAACUCGAUCUCAAAUCAAGUAAGACUACCCGCUGAACUUAAGCAUAUCAAAAGCGGAGGA